GCCUGAAAGGCUCAAUUGGUGAAGCAUCUGACUUCAGCUCAGGUCACGAUCUCACGGUUCACGGGUUCGAGCCCUGUGUCAGGCU
rnacentral:tRNA from 1 species